AGGAUAUUGGUGAACUGAACAGAAAAAAUAUAGAGGAUGUCAUUGCUCAGGGUAACGGCAAACUUGCCAGCAUGCCAGUUGGUGGAGCUGUAGCAGUCUCAGCUGGACCAGGUUCUGCUGCUCCUGCUGCUGCACCUGCUGCUGCUGAGGAGAAGAAAAGAGAAGGAGGAGUCUGAGGAAUCUGAUGAUGACAUGGGAUUUGGCCUAUUUGACUAAACUUUUGCUACAGAAGCUAAUAAAACACUUUGUUUAAAAUGGA